UUUCCUCGGUGCUCCGCCGCCCUCCCCCGGCCUUCCCGGCUUUGGCGCCGCGGGGCCGCUGGCUUGGGAAGGCGCUGCCGCCCCCGCGCGGAGGAACACGGGGGAAUCCAAGCCCCGCGGUUAAUGAGUCAUGAAGUGUGAGAACUUCCGGACCAAGGGGCCCCUGAUGCCAAUUCCAGAUGUGCAAGCGUUCCUGGUGCCCUAUUUCACGGCACCGACAAACGGAAUAUUACUUUUAAAACAGUAUGAAAUACCAGGUCCUGUCCUCGGAGCUAUUUCGGGGGAAUUCAAUUUUCGCUGAAUGGUCGCGGGGAGAAUGUGCCCGGCUCUCCACACAGCGCUUCUCAAAUCCACUAAAAUCAACACAAUAAUUGAAAUAUUUUCAAGCUGAUUACACCGCAGCCCGAGGCUAGCCUGGUUGCUAAGGGUGAGCUCCACGGUUGCUAGGGGGAGUAAAUCAUCUUGCAUUAUUUGAUUUUUGUUAUAGAUAUGAAACCGCUACUCCCGCGAUUAAAUGUCUCUCAGCCUAACACCUAUGGGACCUGGGGAGAGAGGAGAGAGGGGCUCCAACCUUGACCCUGUCAAAUAAAUAUCUCUAACUUUUCCUGUCCUCGGGCUUCCCAGCCAAACCUGUCUGUGGGUUGUUUUUUUUCCUUUCCUUAACCUGACUUUAAAUAACAAAGCUGUGGGGACAGGGAGAUGAAGGGAGGGAAAGCUGUCUACUCUAUGAACGAGCUCUCUGUGCUCAAACCUCUGUCACCAUCCCAGACCAGACGUGAUGGCACUGGUAGGUGCGAUCAACAACCCUCCGAUGCAGGGCACAGGCUGAAUUCUCUCCUCUAUGCUCAGCCCAGGCUGGCCCCUUCAGGGCUUAUCAGAGGGUGGGGUGCCAGGACUUGUCUGGCUCUUCCUCCUCUCUCAACAAGUUCUACCCACACCACAGCUUUGGGUGGCCAGUCCCCCUGGGUUGCAGAGGGUUGAGGGGCUGGGCAUCCUAGAGUCCCCCAAUUCCAGGAUGGAGGAACCGGAAGGAACAGGAAGAUCCAGACAGAGGCCCAGGGGGGUUGAGGGCUUGCCCAGUCCCUUAGGCUGGUGUCCAGCACUGGUUUCCUGUUCAGGCGUGGCUGGCCCUCCAGCACUCUCCAACCAUGCCAGGCAAGGUCCCUGGCCAGCACCAGGGAGGAGUGGGUGUCCAGGCAGCCAGGGCCACGGCCGCUGAGCUGUGAGCACCGCUGUGUGGAGCCAGCAGUCUGGCGGCAGGUGGGCAGGCGAGGCUGCCCGGCGGGACCCAGCCAGCUGUUCCUGUGAAUGAAUCUAAGUAAAUUAACAAACACACACAAACCUGUCACUUGCAUCAUUCUCAAUGACUCUAAGUGCUAGGCUAGGAGGAGCCCCAAGAGCUGGGAAUAGUCCUAUGGAACCUACACGUGUCCUCUGGUUCCUCAAAGCAGCCCCAGCCCUGCCCAGAGCCCCCAGACCCCUGUCCCUCACUCUGUCCAUUGGAUCCCUGACUUGGCCCCAUGCUGGUCUGUGUUGGGGGCUGAGACCCUGCCUAGGCCCACAUCCCCCAGGUCAGUGCCCAGGCUGCAGGUCCAAGAUUCAGUCUCCCUGCUAUUGGCAUCCCCUCAGUGGGUCAGUUCUGGUCCAGCUGCUUGGGUGCCCAGCGCUCUUUAGCCACCAGCUCAUCACUCUGGUUAAUGAUACCAGCUCACCUGUGUGCAGUAGAGCAUAUCUGCCCUCCCCCACCGGGAGGUAGCCUGCUGGUGGUGUCAGUUUCCCGGUAAGGUUCAGAGUCUGAGGUGAUGAGUGACUACCCCACUGAAGGGUUCCUGCACAAGGCCGACCUCUCCUCCUGGAGGUGCCCAGGAUGCGGCCUGAAGCCUCACCCAGCUUCUCACCUGUGGCCGGAUAUCCCUUCCCCCUGCCCUAGUCCAAACCCUGUCUGAGUCACCAUCCAGCCUCCCAGCUGAGGCCCCACCAGUCUUCCCCAGGUCCCUCUAGAGCCCCAGGGGUGAAUGUAACUGAAGCUGGAUGUAAUGGAAGCUAAGAGGUCAGCACUUGGCUGGGGUUUACCUGGGGAGGCCUGGCAUGCACCAGGGACCCCUUCCACAGCACCCAUUAGGAGCCUGCCGUGCACCUUCUCAGCUGCCCUCAGAGAACCAGGCACAUGGGCUGCCCCUCGGGUACUGAUGGUGGUCACAGAAAUUUGACCAUCUGCCCAGGGUUGGCUCUCAGUUGAGGGGACCCAAGGUGAGCUUGGAGGAGUGGGGUGGGGCAGGGCUGGUGGUUCUGUGCAUUGUAGCUGUGCAAUGGGCACAUAGACCCGGAGUCAGCCUGUCCAUGUGUGGAUGGGGGUCUCAGGAGGGGGCCACUCAGGGCCAGGCCCCAGGCCCAGGAAGGGGCAGUGCUAAGGGCAGCCUAGCCACACCCAUGCGAUGACCCCCAGGUGUCCCUGGUUGGUUCAUCAGAGCACCACCCACAUCCGAAUGUGGGUUACGCACACAUCCUCAUUCCUCUGAUUAUAAAUUCUCCACUGAGCUGAGGAUGGAGGUGCCUGCCUGCAACCCUACUGCUCUGGGAGGCUGAGGCAAGCGGAUGGAAAGCCUGGGAGACUUAGUGACUUAGAGAGAGCCUGUAUCCAAAAAACAUUUUUUUUUAAAUAGGGGGGUCCUGGGAAUGCAGCUCAGUGCAAAGGUUCUGGAUUCAAUCCACAGUACUUAAAAAAAAAUGCCCUUGAGAAAUACCUGGAAAAUACAGAAAAGCACAGAGAAACAAAUCUCAGAGAACCAUCUGGAGUUGAGUGAAACCUAGAAUAAUCUAUAAUGGUGAAGCCACCUUGUCUGACGUGUUGGGAGGGUGACCUGGUGUGGGACAGGGCUGCUGAGCAUCAGCAAAGAUAGAGAUCUGCCCUGGAGGCUUGCAGUAGGAGCUGCAGCCCCUCACCAGACCCAGCUGAGUUUGGUCCCCCUGCCCCUCGCUCUGAUCCCAUUCGUGAGAGUCAUCAGCUGCCCCCCCAGGGCCCGAGGAAGUGCUGCCCACACCAUGGAGCUGAAAUUUGAACCUGGGGCUCUACCCAUCCACACCUGGACAGCAGCUUCGUUCUGCCUGGGGAUCAGGAGGGACGGAUCCCACUGGGCCCUUGAGGCGCUGCCAGACAAGAGGGGUGGGUGAUGGGGUGUGGAGCUUCCUGGUGACAGAUUCCUACAGGGUCUACCACCCAGGCAGCCUGAGCAGAACCCCCAUUUAGGGCCUCAGUUUUCCUUUCAGAGCUCCCACGGGCCUGAGAGAAAAGUGCUGGGUAUCCAAUGAGCAUUCCCUGCAUGGGAUGGGUUAUUCUGGGGUGUCCCCUGGAGUCCUGAGGCAUUGUGGGGCCCUCUACCUGGAAUGCCAUCCCCCAACCCUGCUCAUCCCUCAAUGCUGCUUCCGUCACUGCCUCCUGGGGGCCCUGGAGGACAGGGGUCACCUCUGGCUCAUUAUGAGGCCACCUAGAGCCAGGCACCAACCUGGCCUUGGGGAGUCCUUGUCAAAAGCACCUGGCCCAGGGCCGGGGAUUUAGCUCAGUGGUUUCACUGCCUGCUGCGCAAGUGCAAGGACCCGAGUUCGAUCCCCAGUACCAAAAAAAAAAAGCACCUGGCCGGCCCAGGGCAGCUCUGAGGUCACCUCUCUGGGCAGUGGAGGGCUCCAGAUCCUGGCCCAGAGGAGGAGCCCCUGUCCCCAGCCCAAGGCCCCUGUGACAGUCACCCUGGAGGGCCUUCAGGUGGACUGGGUGGGGCUGGUCCUAGAUCAGGCUUAUUGGGGUACCCAAGUCUGCCAGUGCUACAGCAGCAGCUCGCUGCUAGGGAGCAUGAGCGUGCAUGCCCUGAGCUCUGGGUGCACCCUUAGCUAUGAGGUACAUCUAAGAUAUCCACUUCCACAGACAUAAGCCAACCAACCCAGGAGACCUCCCUGGACCAGGCCCAGUGUGUGGAUUAGCAGUCACCAAGUGGGUGGGCCAGGCCAACGAGGGGCCCCGGGCUGAGGUCUGAUGGGCUUUGUCCCUGAGCCCCCGAGGCCUUGGAGAAGACCACUCCACAGUAGCUGUAUUGGGCUGGGGCACUGGGCACAGCCUUCGGGCUCUGGCAGCUGUGGGGGACCCUCUAGGAAACCUGUCCCCUCACCCAGGCCUAGGCCACCCCUGGCUCUCUCCCCACCCUUGGGGCAGCUGGUGCCUACUCUCCAGGCUAGAGGACCCAGCUCUUCCUCCUGCCAGCCCAGGCCCAGACAGUUUUCCAGAUCUGUCCAGGAACCCUGGCUUUGGCCUUGGCCAAUCCUAUCCCAGUGUCGCAGGUGCUUCAGGCCUUGAGAACAUCCGGGGAACUCUCCCCAGGGGACCUGGAGAGGCCCUGGAGCCCCAUCCUGUUUACCAGGCAGCCACUUCCU